rnacentral:rRNA from 1 species
GACGAACGCUGGCGGCGUGCUUAACACAUGCAAGUCGAGCGGUAAGGCCCUUCGGGGUACACGAGCGGCGAACGGGUGAGUAACACGUGGGUGACCUGCCUCUAGCUCUGGGAUAAGCCUGGGAAACUGGGUCUAAUACCGGAUAUGACUCCACGGCGCAUGUUGUGGGGUGGAAAGCCUUGUGUGGCUAGAGAUGGGCCCGCGGCCUAUCAGCUUGUUGGUGGGGNGAUGGCCUACCAAGGCGACGACGGGUAGCCGGCCUGAGAGGGCGACCGGCCACACUGGGACUGAGACACGGCCCAGACUCCUACGGGAGGCAGCAGUGGGGAAUCUUGCGCAAUGGGCGAAAGCCUGACGCAGCGACGCCGCGUGAGGGAUGACGGCCU